rnacentral:rRNA from 5 species
UGGUGGCAAUAGCAAAGAGGUCACACCUGUUCCCAUGCCGAACACAGAAGUUAAGCUCUUUAGCGCCGAUGGUAGUCGGACUAACGUUCCGCUAGAGUAGGACGUUGCCAGGCA